rnacentral:lncRNA from 1 species
CCUCCAAUCAUCACAAAAAAUCUGGCACAGUUUCAGCCGUCGAUUUUCUCACGAAGUCCGAUCGAUGCAAAAUUGGUGUCAUCGGAAAGCUUAUGACGUGAAGGUCCCGAAUAUAUCCUCUGACCAUUUGAAACACGACGACAUUAGCUAGAAAACUGGAAGAACCAAACUAUGCCCAUUUUUUGUCUCCACCGAGAGACACCAUUUUCGAUCACCAUUAUUAGCCCCAUCACUAACAGAUUUGAAGUCUAGUUCAAGUGAAGCUGGUUGCCACCAGUUUCAACCGCCGUCGUUUCCAGAGGAGGAAGAUCUGACGACCAAAAGCUUUGGUGACAUAAAGUUUUACUUCUGGUCAACUUCCUUAACUCCUAUACCAUCUCCUUCCUCACUUGCCAUUAAUAACAGCCUUAAAUCCUUCUCCUUCUUCUUCUUUGUCCCUUUCUUCUUUUCUUUCUUUUUU